rnacentral:rRNA from 1 species
AUGGUGAAACCGCGAAUGGCUCAUUAAAUCAGCUAUGGUUCCUKAGAUYUUACAUCCUUACUWGGAUAACUGUAGUAAUUCUAGAGCUAAUACAUGCYGUCAMUCCCUGACUUUAUWGARGGGUGGAUUUAUUAGAACAAAACCAACCGGCUUCUGCCGUUGGCUUGAUGACUCUGGAUAACUUUUCUGAUCGCACGGCCCAGCGCCAGCGACGUAUCUUUCAAAUGUCUGCCCUAUCAACUAUCGAUGGUAGGUGAUAUGCCYACCAUGGUGAUGACGGGUAACGGGGAAUCAGGGUUCGAUUCCGGAGAGGGAGCCUUAGAAAUGGCUACCACAUCUAAGGAAGGCAGCAGGCGCGCAAAUUACCCACUCUCAGCUCGAGGAGGUAGUGACGAAAAAUAACGAUMUGAGACUCAYAUGAGGCCUCAUAAUUGGAAUGAGUACAAUUUAAAUCCUUUAACGAGGAACUAUUGGAGGGCAAGUCUGGUGCCAGCAGCCGCGGUAACUCCAGCUCC